rnacentral:rRNA from 1 species
UACGUAGGGCGCAAGCGUUGUCCGGAAUUAUUGGGCGUAAAGAGCUCGUAGGCGGUUUGUCACGUCGGCUGUGAAAACCCGAGGCUCAACCUCGGGCCUGCAGUCGAUACGGGCAGACUAGAGUGCUGUAGGGGAGACUGGGAAUUCCUGGUGUAGCGGUGAAAUGCGCAGAUAUCAGGAGGAACACCGGUGGCGAAGGCGGGUCUCUGGGGCAGUAACUGACGUGAGGAGCGAAAGCGUGGGGAGCAAACAGG